UGGCAUGCAUGCUAUGUUAAUAAAUAUUUUUGAAUAAAUGCACAACUGAUUAAUCAUAUUCUAAAAAAGAAAUGAACUUAUCGCAGCCACUUUGCAAGGCAGCUUUGGUCAGGAGAAGACAGACUAGCCACACUGAAAAGGGUAACACAAGAUGGGCAAAUUUCAAGUUAGCCGACACACUAUUGCCUCAAGUACACAGUGGCGGACCUUAUUGUAAAGAUGCUGGUUCUUCCCUUAUAAUCUUCAUUGGCAAUGGCGAGCUGUGUCCUGAAAUCGCUGUCCAGUGAAAGUGGCUCAUUUGGUUUUAGCACUGAAUAAUAUUCCACUGUUUGGAUGUGCCAUAGUUUAUUUAUCCAGUCACCCACUGAAGGACGUCUUGGUUGCUUCCAAGUUUUAGCAAUUAUAAAUAAAGCUGCUGUAAACAUCUGUAUGCAGGCUUUUCUGUGGACAUAAGAUUUUAACUCCUAUGUGUAAAUACUGAGGAGCACAACUGCUGGAUCAUAUGUCUUAAGAAGAAAAGGGCAGAAGAAAGGAGAGAAAUUAUAAUAUUUUGGACCAAGAUAGUCAUGGUGGAUGUUGUAGAUAUGGCCAGAUUCUAUACGUGCUUUGAAGUUCUAAACUGUAGGAUUUGUUAACAGAUUUCUGUGUAAUAAAAAAAGGAGAGUCAAGGAGGAUCCCAAGGUUUUCACCUGAGCAUCUGUAAGAAGGUUACAAAGCAUCUGUAAGAGUUAUAUUUACUGAGAUGAAGAAGAACUUGGAAGAACAGAUGGGAAAACAUUGCAGAAUCAGGAGUUUUUCUGGGAAUACGUUGACUUUGAAAUCUGUAUCAGACGUCUACAUGAAGUUGAAUGGACAACUGGAAAGGCAAUGCUGAAGUUCAGCUAGAUGUCUGGAUUUGGGAGUUAGUGGCAUGGAUAGUAUUUAAAGCCAUGUGAUGAGGUUGUCAAGAGAAUGAGGAUAAAGGAAGUGUCUGUGAGUGGACUCUGGAGCACACCAAUACUCAGAAGAUAGGGAGAUGAGAAGGAACUCAUAAAUGAGACUAAGAGGGAAUGGUCAAUGAAGCAGGAAGAGAGUAUUCUGUCAGGAUCAUGUAUUAAGAAGGAGAAAGUAAUGAAGUCAAUAGAUCAAUAAGAUGAGAACUGGUAGGUCAAAUAAGUUGAAAACUGAGAAUUGAUGUGGCAGUCAUUGGUGAUUUUCACAAAAUCUGUUUUGCACAAUUGCAAAACUGGUGGGAACAAAAGCCUGAUUAGGGAAGUUUCAAUAUAGACUAAGAGGAGGGGAGUUAUAAAUAGCAAAUGUAGACAAAUCUUAUGAC
rnacentral:lncRNA from 1 species